AAACCAAUCAGAGCGUCAACCAACAUAUACCCAUUAAGAGCAGGUGCGCAUGUUGCAUGGCGGAUUGUUAUUAUCAUGGCGGAUUUACCAGGCGCGCGCAAGGAGCUUUCACUGCCGAGGAGACCGACGUUCUUGUCAGGGCAGAGAAGUGACGUUGUAUGGGGGUGGGAGAAACCCAUGCAGAAACCCAACUUUUCAGCGUCGGUUAAAUAGGUGUGGGAGGGGGGGGGAAAAUACAUUUUUUUUUACAUCUUGGUUACCACAAUGAUUUCCCUCAUGUGUUCAUAUUUUUCCUUGUUAUAGCUAAUGUAGGCUUUCAGCACCGGACAGCACCAUCUCUCUAGUUUAGUUGUAUCUUUCUGGGGAUUUGUUAUAGUUGGCUGUUGUCUCAUUUAAAUUCAAGUCCAUGCGAUCCCUCUCUGUGUUUACUGGAGCACUUCAUUGAUUCACUAGCCGUUGGUGCUCCAAAUGUUCCUUCUCAUGGGGUUUAUUUGGCCGAGUGAGCAAUCCUCGUGCGUCAUUAGAAAUAAAUGGCGAGAAAUAGGGGACCACGAACUGGAUCAGAUACGAGACCUUGGGCUGCCAAUUACGCGUCUUAAUUAAACAAAAAUGACAAAUUUAAGUCAUUUUACCACAACUGCCAGACAACCGUGGCACGAAACAGGUUCUCAUUCAAAAGCCUGAUUGGAGCAGCGCGCGCAGGCAGUCUGACGGAAGCCUUUUCUGAGGUUUUUACAACGUUGAAGGCUCGCAGAAUGCGUAAUGAAUACCGGUUACGUCAGAGAGCUGUGGGAAGUCGUCUUUCCAAACCAACACCUUUUCCCUCACCAGUUCAGUGAACGCGACUGGGCUCUUAUAUCAGGGCUGAGAUGGAAUAAUUGAAAUAAAUCUGGAUAUUUAAAAGCACUUCUCGUGGAGUUGUAAACCUGAAUUCACGGAUUGUGAAUAAUGAAGGCAUCUGAGAUUAUGUGGGGCGCUUUUAAUGGGGCGUCCGAGACUAACGGGACGGGCGCGGAGAAAGUUCAGCACGUGCUCCAGCCUUUUUCGUCCACCGUUGCUCUUCUGGUGCUGGGGUUGGUCAUUAUAGGGAUUAUAUUAAUCUCACUGACCACCUACCACUUUCACAAAAGCAAGAUGAAGAAGAGGAAGAUGCUAAGGGCACAGGAGGAAUUUGAGCGGGAUAACUGUGGCUCCUCUGUCCCGCUCAGGGUAAAGCCCUCACUGAGCCGCUGCAUGAUCGCUCGCCCCGCUCCACCGCAACAUCCACCGACAAACACCGACGCGAAACAGCGCGAGAUUGUCGUGUUUGAAGGAGUUGCUGGAUCCUCAUUAAGGGCCGAAUGAAAACUGUGCCGUUUGUGAAUAUAAGAUGUACAAAAAGCCUAUCUUUGUUCACGCUGGGAAAUAUGAUUGGGCUUUCUUACGAUCUCCUUAUGGACUUUACAAAGCCUGUCCUAAUAAUGACUGUCCUUUAGUUUAAUAACAGCUGAGCCUAAUGUGUUAUAAAUGGAAUUGAUUUGGAUGGGUCUUGAAGUGAGAUUAUCUGUAGAUGCUGUCCAAGGUGCUGACUUUAAUCCAUUUAACCCCUCAAUUUAUUUGAAUGCUUUAAAACAAAAAGGUUUAGUGUUUUACACACAUCUGUCAGCUAUAAAUGAAAGAGCGGAAUGUGUUGAUUCAAUGUGAACAAACAUGGCUGGUGGUGUAAAUAGUCACUUAACUAGCACAUUCAUUGGCUAUUACUCUUUAUUUGAAAGAAAGAGUUGAUUCAUGUAACUAUACAGCUCAGAGGUUUAAGUAACAGUUAUAGCCAAGGCUGACCCAUCAUUUCACUCCAGAAUCUGUUACAGCACACUGCAGAAACUUCAUUUUAUCCUUUAAUUCCAGUUUGCCCCUCUGUGAUAAUGUCAUAAUACAGAUAUAAUUCAGUACAUCAGUUAAAGGGCCUAUUAUUAAUGUAUCAUUUAGAUUGCUCUGUUGAAGAUUACAUAUGUGCCCCGGUGGGAAACCCAGUGUCCCAUGUUGAAUAAUUAACUUUUUUGAAUCACAUCAUAAAAGUGUAAAUGACAAUAUUGUUACAUGAAUGAAACAGCAUUAAGUAAUAUUAUCUCAUUUUUACCUUUCCCUUUUUUUUUAAACUGCCUGAGAACAUAUAAUAUAUGGAUUUCUCACCGGCUACAAUUGUGACCAAAUUUGGAAUCAAAUGUGUUAAUCCAGAUUAGGGGACUGAAACUAUAAUACUAUGAAUUUAGUAACUAUUAUUAUUUGACUGUAUUUCUUUGUAACUGAAGAUGAAACUAUAUUGCAGAGAGGAACUCGGUCAACUUUGUUAAUCCUUUGCACUUGAUUUUGCCAUAAUCAAGCAUUUAACAGAACCAUGUGUUCAUCAUGCCAAUAUCAAAGCACAUUGAUCUAAAAGAUCAUCAUUAAGAUGUUUCUUUCAGAUUUAUACUCUACAGUUGUGAUGAUUUUCUUGUACAAAUAAAAUUUAUUUGCCUACACAUCAUGCA